rnacentral:rRNA from 1 species
UACGUAGGGUGCAAGCGUUGUCCGGAAUUAUUGGGCGUAAAGAGCUCGUAGGCGGUUUGUCGCGUCUGCUGUGAAAACUCGGGGCUUAACCCCGGGCCUGCAGUGGGUACGGGCAGACUAGAGUGCGGUAGGGGAGACUGGAAUUCCAGGUGUAGCGGUGAAAUGCGUAGAUAUCUGGAGGAAUACCGGUGGCGAAGGCGGCAUCCUGGACCGGCAUUGACGCUGAUGAGCGAAAGCUAGGGGAGCAAACGGGGAUUAAGAAACCCGG